AAAAAAAAAAAAAAGUUAAAUGUGAUUUGUGAGGUUUGGAUUUAUAGCUGUGCCCUCUGUAUGAUAGGUAUGUAGCUUGGUGCAUGACACAGGAAAACCCACUUCAUGUGUGCUGCUCUUGGUCCAAGCAAGCCACGAACCUCUUCCUCCAAAGUGCUAAAUAAGUACAAACUGGAUAGGUGAAUUGAUUCAUCUCAAAAUGGAACUAACCACAAAGAAGUAACAUCAAACAUCAAAAAUUCAUUGAAAAGUUAUCACCCUUACCUGCUUACCCUAGGUUGAAGCCAAAUUUCUCCAUCAUUUUGCAGUGCACCACUGGAUAUGUUUGGGAACUUUGAACACCUUGUUUGCCUCCAAAGCUUUAGAAAUAAAAAUACCUUGUGAGCACCACAGUUCUAUGCAGUUUAUUUGUCAACUCCAGCCAGGCAUGGUGACCGUCAGCUGUUAGCUAAGCCCGCCUUGCGACCAUCUGCUUCCUUAUCUUCCGCCUUGCGACCAUAUGCUAAAGGGAAACUCCAAAACAUUCUCCACCCUACGACCACCUGCUUGACCGGAGUACCUGGCCCGAGCGAUAAGGAAUAGCUAGGGGUAUAAAUACCCCUAGCCCAAGACCAGUCGUCGUCGUCCAUCUCGACCCGACCUGACUGCCACUCGUCGCUGCGUCACGCGACUUGACCGACUGCUGCCGGAGGCCCUGCUGGAACCGGAGCUGAUCGUCACAUUGCAGUUCGAAUCUCUGCCCGACAGCCCGGCGCUCGGU